rnacentral:lncRNA from 1 species
GGGCGGGUUUCUGCUUUCUCUGGGGUCUCACACCUUUCAUGCUGCUCAGUGAGAUUACAUUUCAAAAAUGCCACAGACAAGACAGACAGGAUAAUCAAUCACGUGAGUACAAAACGCACACAAACGCGUGCACGCUUACUCUGUGCAGCAAUGUCUGCUGCUGGCUGUGUCUGCUUGCAGGACUCAUAAAUCAAUGCUGCACUGUCAGGGGGUCUAACAUGAGCUGGAGAGGGAAACAGAGCAGGGGUACAGUCUAAUCCACGCUCUGCUACACUCUCUCUUUGGCUCGGGUAAACUGACAGAGGACAGAUAAUGCCGGGUGAUCUAGUGUGUGUGUCCUUGUGGCUGCCUGGCCACAGUUGCAGACAGAAACCUCAUUAAUGUAACACAGUGGAGUUGGCUCAUCGCUGACCUCAUUAUUCUCCUCCCCAAUCUCACUGAUAACAAAGACUUGCCUGCCUGUGCCCUCUAUUUAGUUCUGUGUGUGCGGUGUGUAUUUCUGCUGUUUUCGCAGUCAUGAAUCAGCGCUACGAUCCCGCGUCACACUGUUUCGAUAGCAGCUCUCCUGUUAAGUAAUUAUAGCACCCGGGUUCGUAUUGCUCCUGUAAAUCUCUCAUAAAAAUUCCAGAGAAUGAGAGUCAUAGCUGCAGGAUAACACAGGUAAACAGACAGAGCAGGGAGAAGAUGCUGCGAGAUAAUUACAUCCACUUUCUCAUUACUUGUUUCUGCCAGAAAAGCAAAAUGUGUCCUGUUCAAACUUUACUGCUGCAAAAAUGCCUCCUUAGAUGUCCCUGGGCCUGCAGGAUUAAGCGCUCUCUGGGGUGCCCUUCCAGUGGAGAGAAUUUGAUGUAGUGCCCUUUGGUGAGCUUUCUCAUUAGAGAAACUCAAUCUCAGAGCUCGGCAGCCAAAGACCUCCAGUCAACACUUCUUCUUCUUCUGUACGAUGCCGUCGUUUAUGGCAGACUUGCAACUCCAGAGAUGAGAAGCGGCAUUUCCUGAACAUUUGUUUCAUGCACUUGACUGUUUGUGGUCCUAACUUAAAGCUUAUUGGGUUCUAGGACUGCAUAUGGCAAACUCAGACUUUGACUAUUUAUUUAGGCAUCUCACUUUUAAAAAUCACAAUCUGUACAGAGGAAUUAGAGAAAACAUAAAGCAGUGCACCAGUGACUCUAGUGGAGAAAAUUAGGUAUGGCAACCUUUAGAGUUCCCUUCAUACUAAGUCAGACAUAAAAACGUGCCUUCGUGGGUGAAAAUAUAAUACCUUGCCUCAGGUUUUCUCCGAUCUAGUGGAGAAAACAUUAGACAGUGCACCUCUUUAAGAAAUGUAAUGAGGAGCCAUUUGAGUAGGUGAAUCAUAACUUAAGGUCCAAUAAGUGGGCUCUUAGUCCCUCUUGCAGUGAAUAACUUUAAAUGCACCAAAACUGACCUUUUGAAUGGUGACUAGGUGAUGGCAUACCCCCUUGAUGCUCCUGUAGUGGAGAAAACACGAGACAGUGCACCUCCAUGUGACCUUUAAGAGGAAGAAAUGCAAUAAAGAGCCCUGUUAGUGGGUAAAUCAUGAAGUCUUGUCAGUGAAAAACUUAAAUGCACCAAAAAGUGGCUCUAACAUGGAGAAAACAUGAUGGCAUACCCUCCUUGAUGCAUGAGGUUUGUGCUAAUAUGUGCCCUUAAAGAGGAGAAAAUGUGAUCAGGUGCUCAACAGGAAACAAAUUAUGAUGUGGUGCACUCAUGGCUGUCCCCUUAGAGGAGAAAAUGAAACUUGGUACUAUCAUUGGAGAAAACACCACUCGGUACCCUUUCUAGUAGACAACUGAUGCAAUGUGUAAGUGGACAUUUUCCAGUGAGAUUAAAAGCUUUUGAACGUCGCCUCUUAAAUGGAGAAAACCUGAUGGCAUACCCUCUAGAUGCUCUUCUAGUGGACAAAAUGUGAUAAAAUGGAUGAUUUGUAUUGGUCCAGUGGAUGGCUGUUAAGAUGGGAAAAUAGGAUGGGGUGCAGUUGGUGGAGAAAGUGGGUCAAAAAAUGUCUUUGCACACCUCUAUCGGAGAAAACUGCAUGAAGUCCUGUCUUUAUGUUGUUUUAAAUGGUAGCUAACUGUUGUGUCCCCUUCCGAUAAGGAGACUGCGAUUAUGAAUAAGUUAAGAAUGGCAUGGAAGCUGUUGAAGUGUUGUUCCACUGGAGAAAACUGAAAACUCACUCAUGCAAAUGAAUUUUUCAAUAUAUUUGAUAACUGUGGGUUUAUUUUCUACCGUUUGGUUUUGCACUUCUGAUUGUUUCUCACAUUUUUUUCUGAUGUAAAUGGUUUGAAUGUUGCGUUCAACACUAAAACUGCAUCAAAUGACAAAAAUGUUUUUGUCGUUUCAGUGCUUCGGCUCUUUAAGAACAUACGGCGAAACAGCCACAUGUUUUUUAUAGGAGACAUUCAAGUGCUGAGCACUCUGGGUAAGUACAUGUUUGGGCUGUCAGGGCUGUAAUGUGGACAGCUGAGAGCUGUUGUAAGGGGAUCUGCUGUUGAUGAC